AGUUAUAUGACUUUGGGAAGCUACUUAAUAUCCCUGCUUCCACCGGAAAAAAAAAAAAAAUUAUAAAUGAUAGUGUCUAUCUCAGAGGGUUGUUUAAGGAGCAAGGAAUAAAAAGUGCCUGGCUAUCUUACUUUUCUAUUGUUGCCAUAGAAAAAGAAUACCACAAACUUAGCAGUUUAAAAUAACUUUCUCUUAUUUUCUCACAGUUUGUAGAUCAGAAGUCCAGGUACAAUGUGGCUCAGCUGGUUCGCUGCUCCAGGUUUCACCAAGACCCAAAUCAAGUUGUAGACAAGGCUCUUGUUCUUUUCUGGAAGCUCUGGAAAUGAAUCUGCUUCCAAGUUCUCUCAGGUUGUUGGAAGAACUCAGUUCCACAACUCUGUAGGACUGAGGACCCCAUUUCCUAGCUGGCUGUCAACUGUGGGUCACCUUCAGCCUCCAAAGGCUGACUGCAUUCUUUGAGUUUGCAUAGUGUUGAUAUGAUUUCUCUCUUGAUUACUUGACAAAUUCACCAGGGAAGACUUCUUGGCCUGUGGUCUUCUGUAGAUGUACAUUUUCAACAGCUAUAAUUUUUCUUCAGCCUAAGGAAUCUCCUCCAAUGGCUUUUAUAGUGCAGCUGAAAGAAGAAAAAAUUCCAUCAAUCUGGAAACCAAAUAUGAAUGUAAAACAAAAUGUGAGAGAAUUCAUUGACAACAGACUACAC